AGGAGUUCUGCCUUCGGGUAGACAGGGAGACAGGUGGUGCAUGGUUGUCGUCAGCUCGUGUCGUGAGAUGUUGGGUUAAGUCCCGCAACGAGCGCAACCCUCGACCUUAGUUGCCAGCAUUCAGUUGGGCACUCUAAGGUGACUGCCGGCUAAAAGUCGGAGAAGGUGGGGAUGACGUCAAAUCAUCAUGCCCCUUAUGACCUGGGCUACACACGUGCUACAAUGGGCGGUACAAAGGGUCGCGAACCCGCGAGGGGGAGCCAAUCCCAAAAAAGCCGACUCUCAGUUCGGAUUGCAGGCUGCAACUCGCCUGCAUGAAGCCGGAAUCGCUAGUAAUCGCGGAUCAGCAUGCCGCGGUGAAUACGUUCCCGGGCCUU
rnacentral:rRNA from 1 species